rnacentral:misc_RNA from 1 species
GAUGAAGAACGUAGCGAAAUGCGAUACGUAAUGUGAAUUGCAGAAUUCAGUGAAUCAUCGAAUCUUUGAACGCAUAUUGCGCUCUCUGGUAUUCCGGAGAGCAUGCUCGUUUGAGUAUCAGUAAACACCUCAACUUCCAUAUCUUUUUUGAAAUGGGAGUUGGACUUGAGUGAUCCCAACGCUUUUCCUCACCGAAAAGUGGCGGGUUACUUGAAAUGCAGGUGCAGCUGGACUUUUCUCUGAGCUAUAAGCAUAUCUAUUUAGUCUGCCUAAAAAACAGAUUAUUACCUUUGCUGCAGCUAACAUAAAGGAGAUUAGUUCUUGUGCUGACUGAUGCAGGAUUCACAAAGACAGCUUCGGCCGACUUUGUAAACUCGAUCUCAAAUCAAGUAAGACUACCCGCUGAACUUAAGCAUAUCAAAAGCGGAGGA